AGAAAGUGCGGUACAAAUGAGAUUUUUAACGCCAACUGGGAUGAGAACACUGUUGUGUAUAACACAAUCAAUCCAGUCAUCUUCGCGCGUUACAUCCGGGUUAUGCCGAAGACUUGGAAGUCACACAUAUCCAUGAGGGUGGAGUUUUAUGAUUGCGGCGGGUCUGAAUAUAACGUUUUCAAGGCAGAUGAGUUGCUUGCACAAGCAGAGUACGU